rnacentral:rRNA from 1 species
UACGAAGGGGGCUAGCGUUGCUCGGAAUCACUGGGCGUAAAGGGCGCGUAGGCGGCGUUUUAAGUCGGGGGUGAAAGCCUGUGGCUCAACCACAGAAUGGCCUUCGAUACUGGGGCGCUUGAGUAUGGUAGAGGUUGGUGGAACUGCGAGUGUAGAGGUGAAAUUCGUAGAUAUUCGCAAGAACACCGGUGGCGAAGGCGGCCAACUGGACCAUUACUGACGCUGAGGCGCGAAAGCGUGGGGAGCAAACAGG